AGAGUUUGAUCAUGGCUCAGAUUGAACGCUGGCGGCAGCUUACACAUGCAGUCGAGCGGUAGCACAAGAGAGCUUGCUCUCUGGGUGACGAGCGGCGGACGGGUGAGUAAUGUCUGGGAAACUGCCUGAUGGAGGGGGAUAACUACUGGAAACGGUAGCUAAUACCGCAUAACGUCGCAAGACCAAAGAGGGGGACCUUCGGGCCUCUUGCCAUCAGAUGUGCCCAGAUGGGAUUAGCUAGUAGGUGGGGUAAUGGCUCACCUAGGCGACGAUCCCUAGCUGGUCUGAGAGGAUGACCAGCCACACUGGAACUGAGACACGGUCCAGACUCCUACGGGAGGCAGCAGUGGGGAAUAUUGCACAAUGGGCGCAAGCCUGAUGCAGCCAUGCCGCGUGUGUGAAGAAGGCCUUCGGGUUGUAAAGCACUUUCAGCGAGGAGGAAGGUGGUGAACUUAAUACGUUCAUCAAUUGACGUUACUCGCAGAAGAAGCACCGGCUAACUCCGUGCCAGCAGCCGCGGUAAUACGGAGGGUGCAAGCGUUAAUCGGAAUUACUGGGCGUAAAGCGCACGCAGGCGGUUUGUUAAGUCAGAUGUGAAAUCCCCGGGCUCAACCUGGGAACUGCAUUUGAAACUGGGAAGCUAGAGUCUCGUAGAGGGGGGUAGAAUUCCAGGUGUAGCGGUGAAAUGCGUAGAGAUCUGGAGGAAUACCGGUGGCGAAGGCGGCCCCCUGGACGAAGACUGACGCUCAGGUGCGAAAGCGUGGGGAGCAAACAGGAUUAGAUACCCUGGUAGUCCACGCUGUAAACGAUGUCGAUUUGGAGGUUGUGCCCUUGAGGCGUGGCUUCCGGAGCUAACGCGUUAAAUCGACCGCCUGGGGAGUACGGCCGCAAGGUUAAAACUCAAAUGAAUUGACGGGGGCCCGCACAAGCGGUGGAGCAUGUGGUUUAAUUCGAUGCAACGCGAAGAACCUUACCUACUCUUGACAUCCAGAGAACUUUCCAGAGAUGGAUUGGUGCCUUCGGGAACUCUGAGACAGGUGCUGCAUGGCUGUCGUCAGCUCGUGUUGUGAAAUGUUGGGUUAAGUCCCGCAACGAGCGCAACCCUUAUCCUUUGUUGCCAGCGGUUCGGCCGGGAACUCAAAGGAGACUGCCAGUGAUAAACUGGAGGAAGGUGGGGAUGACGUCAAGUCAUCAUGGCCCCUACGAGUAGGGGCUACCCCACGUGCUACAAUGGCAUAUACAAAGAGAAGCGACCCUCGCGAGAGCAAGCGGACCUCCAUAAAAGUAUGUCGUAGUCCGGAUUGGGAGUCUGCAACUCGACUCCAUGAAGUCGGAAUCGCUAGUAAUCGUAGAUCAGAAUGCUACGGUGAAUACGUUCCCGGGCCUUGUACACACCGCCCGUCACACCAUGGGAGUGGGUUGCAAAAGAAGUAGGUAGCUUAACCUUCGGGAGGGCGCUUACCACUUUGUGAUUCAUGACUGGGGUGAAGUCGUAACAAGGUAAC
rnacentral:rRNA from 1 species